rnacentral:rRNA from 1 species
CCUACGGGAGGCUGCAGUGGGGAAUAUUGGGCAAUGGGCGCAAGUCUGAACCAGCAAUGCCGCGUGAGGGAUGAAGGCACUUUGAUUGUUAAACUCUUUUCUUUGGGACGAAUAAAUGACGGUACCACAGGAAUGAGCCCCGGCUAACUACGUGCCAGCAGCCUCGGUAAUACGUAGGGGGCGAGCGUGGUUCGGAAUGACUGGGGGUAAAGGGUGUGUAGGGGGGUUGAUAAGUUAGAUGUGUAAUACCGAGGGCUUAAGUCGGGUGCUGCAGUUAAAACUGGUAGACUUGAGUGCUGGAGAGGAUAGGGGAAUUCCUAGUGUAGCGGUGGAAUGCGUAGAUAUCAGGCGGAACACCGGGGGCGAAGGCGACAAACUGGACAGCAACUGACACUGAGGCACGAAAGCGUGGGUAGCAAACAGGAUUAGAUACCCGAGUAGUC